UACAGAGGGGGCAAGCGUUAUUCGGAAUUAUUGGGCGUAAAGGGCGCGUAGGCGGCGAUUCAAGUGACGGGUGAAAUCCCUCGGCUUAACCGAGGAACUGCCUGUCAGACUGGAUUGCUUGAGGCCGGGAGAGGCGAGUGGAAUUCCCAGUGUAGCGGUGAAAUGCGCAGAUAUCAGGAGGAACACCAAUGGCGAAGGCAGCACUCUGGGACGUGACUGACGCUGAGACGCGAAAGCGUGGGGAGCAAACAGG
rnacentral:rRNA from 1 species